CCAGGGACCAGAACUGCACCUCGGUCAACUUGCCAACCUGACACCCAUUUUAUGAGGAGUUUGACUGGGUGGUGGGCACUGUGCCCAGCACCGAACCAACAGUGGUGCAUGAUGACCUGGUCAGCUGAGAUAUCCCCUGCUGGCCCCUGAAUCCAACAUGGGGACCACGAAGUGACUCUGUUGCUGAAACUGGUCCCAGAACAGGCUGCGGAACAGGAUCAGCAGCAAAUUCUGGGUCCAUACUUGGAGGAGACGUUUGAUUGCCCCGUUUCCCUUAGCAAACUCGGAGGAGACAAUGCGCGGCCCUUCGAUUUCUACUGGCUGCUGUACAUCGUCAACUUGAUCCCUGGCCUAACGUACCUUCAUUGACUGUACCAAGAGGAAGCACUUCCAUGAUGAAGUUAUGGUUGAAGUUCUUGAGCAGGCUGACAAGCACGUCCAGUACCAGAAGGACUCAAGACUUGAGAAACAGCAUGCUGAUAGGCAGGAGGAAAGGCUGAGGCUCUGUGUGCAGCUGGAGGAGAGGGUUUCAGCAAGGGAGUAGGCACUUGCAACACAGUUCCCGGAAAAGGAACAAUGACUAAGGGAGCUCAACAGAGAAAACAGUUUGAGCGACUCAUCUCCAUCCUGGCCGGAAGAGAACAGGGUCCUACUGCCUCUCCCACACCAUGGCCUGAUCCCCCAGCAACAUACCCUAGGUACAGAAGUAGCUUGGACAACUCCAUGUUGGGGUAGGCCAUGCCAUCAAGCCUCAUGAACAGCUGGGCAGGGCAACUAAAUACCAUGCAGUUCUUCCUUUCUGAACCCCUCUCCUGUGGAUAAUUUCCCCCUCCCAUCCUCUCCAGUGCCACGUGCAUGGAAAACGGGGAAAGGAGAAUGUGUGGCCAGGGGACAUGCAGCGGUAGGGGGUUUGUAUCAUGUUUGCACUGUUUGCUGUAUUCUUUUUGUUUGUUUGUUUUGGAAAUAGUCUUCUGUUAGUUGUUUUUGGGUGUGAUAAUGACAGCUGGCCUGCCUAGCAAUGGUGGGAGACAGUUGUACUGUUUUAACUCAUGUUUACAAAUAAAGCCUUUUAUGUCAUCAAGGAA